rnacentral:rRNA from 1 species
CGGCGGACGGGUGAGUAACACGUGGGUAACCUACCUAUAAGACUGGGAUAACUCCGGGAAACCGGGGCUAAUACCGGAUAACACAUGAAACCGCAUGGUUUCAUGAUGAAAGACGGUUUUGCCGUCACUUAUAGAUGGACCCGCGGUGCAUUAGCUAGUUGGUGAGGUAACGGCUCACCAAGGCCACGAUGCAUAGCCGACCUGAGAGGGUGAUCGGCCACACUGGGACUGAGACACGGCCCAG